AUGAUCAAAGAGCGAGCAGCCGCCAGGUUGAAGAAAAAGGAUGUCGCCUGGUAUUUUAAGAAUAAAGUGACCGCCUGCUUUUUUAAGAAUAAAGUGGCCGGUGAAUCAAUGAUCAAAGAGCAUAUUUUGGAGAGAUUCUUCAUCGAUCUAGUGGCCGGUGAAUCAAUGAUCAAAGAGCGAGCAGCCGCCAGGUUUAAUGAUUUGGUGGGAUCCACAGAUGUAGUGGCUGGUGAACCGCUUCUUCUUCCACGAAGAUUCAUACAAAUCCGAGCUUGGAUGGAACUGAUAAAGAUUUGGCGAACGAAAAAAAAGGUCAAAGGCUUUUAUAUUAAGAAAAUCAAGGGAGGUUAUUCAGUAGCCAUCGCAGGUUUCAUUACUUUUCUUCCAUUCCGUCCUCUCAAAAGGAAAGGAACAUGGAAAAAGGAAUCGCGAAGGCGAUGGCGAAAGAUAAUGGAAAGGCGAAGGCAAAUGGAAAUGCAAAGGCGAGCGCUAUUGAAUGGUCGAUUCAACAUCGAGCGCUAUGAUCCCAAAUGGAUGAAUAUUGUGGUGUCGCUAUCAGCGGAAGAUCAAAGAAGAACUUGAUGAGCGAAAUUUGCUGACGAAAAAGAGCACUUUUUCAAUUCCGAAGCCUAGCCUCUCCUGUAACACUCUAUCACCUUAAUCCAUUCUUUAGCCUUUCCUGUAACACUCUAUCACCUC
rnacentral:misc_RNA from 1 species